rnacentral:rRNA from 1 species
AUGGCGGAGGAACCGUCCACCAAGCGUCACCAUGGCGAGACGUCGAACAAGAGCAGCAACCUCGUCGACAUUCACGUCCCCGGCGAGAAGCGCGAGUACACCAGAACGCUCAAAGGGGUUGAGCUCCAUGGCAAGGAGACGCUGGAGAUCGUCUACACCAGCAUACUGGACAAGGCCGACGAGGUGAUGAGCAGGCUCAGGAUGAAGGGCGGCGGCUUGUAUCCGAGCUUCAUCGGAGUUGAUGUGGAGACCAAGCGCCUCAAAGACUUCCUGCAGGAGGAGAAAUUGUACACAUUUGUUGGUUUCAGCAUUGGUGGUGACAAGCAGAUGCUGGACAAGUCUAGUUUGGAGAUCAACCCCAACAACUUCAUCGACAUGCAGUGCAAGUGGAAAGAUCCAAACACCGACAAAUACUACGACUCCUUGGUCGAUGUUGCAGGCGGCGUCAUCCACCCAUUCUACGACGGCAUGAAGAAGAAGAUGGACAGGGCAGACCACAAACUGUGGGGGACCAGCCCGCUGCCAGACAACCUCAUCACGUACGCAGGAAUAGAUGCGUACGCAACGUACAAGUCAUGGAAGACAAUCGACAACAUCGUGACAGGUUGGGAUAUU